rfam:Stegodyphus mimosarum contig126201, whole genome shotgun sequence.
GCCUUCGUGGUGUUGUGGUCAGCACGCUGGCAGCGUAACCGACAGGCCCGUGGUUCGAUUCCCGGCGAAGGCG